rnacentral:rRNA from 1 species
AUUGAACGCUGGCGGCAUGCCUUACACAUGCAAGUCGAACGGCAGCACGGAGCUUGCUCUGGUGGCGAGUGGCGAACGGGUGAGUAAUAUAUCGGAACGUACCCUAGAGUGGGGGAUAACGUAGCGAAAGUUACGCUAAUACCGCAUACGAUCUAAGGAUGAAAGUGGGGGAUCGCAAGACCUCAUGCUCGUGGAGCGGCCGAUAUCUGAUUAGCUAGUUGGUAGGGUAAAAGCCUACCAAGGCAUCGAUCAGUAGCUGGUCUGAGAGGACGACCAGCCACACUGGAACUGAGACACGGUCCAGACUCCUACGGGAGGCAGCAGUGGGGAAUUUUGGACAAUGGGCGAAAGCCUGAUCCAGCAAUGCCGCGUGAGUGAAGAAGGCCUUCGGGUUGUAAAGCUCUUUUGUCAGGGAAGAAACGGUGAGAGCUAAUAUCUCUUGCUAAUGACGGUACCUGAAGAAUAAGCACCGGCUAACUACGUGCCAGCAGCCGCGGUAAUACGUAGGGUGCAAGCGUUAAUCGGAAUUACUGGGCGUAAAGCGUGCGCAGGCGGUUUUGUAAGUCUGAUGUGAAAUCCCCGGGCUCAACCCGGGAAUUGCAUUGGAGACUGCAAGGCUAGAAUCUGGCAGAGGGGGGUAGAAUUCCACGUGUAGCAGUGAAAUGCGUAGAUAUGUGGAGGAACACCGAUGGCGAAGGCAGCCCCCUGGGUCAAGAUUGACGCUCAUGCACGAAAGCGUGGGGAGCAAACAGGAUUAGAUACCCUGGUAGUCCACGCCCUAAACGAUGUCUACUAGUUGUCGGGUCUUAAUUGACUUGGUAACGCAGCUAACGCGUGAAGUAGACCGCCUGGGGAGUACGGUCGCAAGAUUAAAACUCAAAGGAAUUGACGGGGACCCGCACAAGCGGUGGACGAUGUGGAUUAAUUCGAUGCAACGCGAAAAACCUUACCUACCCUUGACAUGGCUGGAAUCCCCGAGAGAUUGGGGAGUGCUCGAAAGAGAGCCAGUACACAGGUGCUGCAUGGCUGUCGUCAGCUCGUGUCGUGAGAUGUUGGGUUAAGUCCCGCAACGAGCGCAACCCUUGUCAUUAGUUGCUACGAAAGGGCACUCUAAUGAGACUGCCGGUGACAAACCGGAGGAAGGUGGGGAUGACGUCAAGUCCUCAUGGCCCUUAUGGGUAGGGCUUCACACGUCAUACAAUGGUACAUACAGAGCGCCGCCAACCCGCGAGGGGGAGCUAAUCGCAGAAAGUGUAUCGUAGUCCGGAUUGUAGUCUGCAACUCGACUGCAUGAAGUUGGAAUCGCUAGUAAUCGCGGAUCAGCAUGUCGCGGUGAAUACGUUCCCGGGUCU